UGGGGAAUUUUGGACAAUGGGGCAACCCUGAUCCAGCAAUGCCGCGUGUGUGAAGAAGGCCUUCGGGUUGUAAAGCACUUUGUCCGGAAAGAAAUCGCCCUGGCUAAUAUCCGGGGUGGAUGACGGUACUGGAAGAAUAAGCACCGGCUAACUACGUGCCAGCAGCCGCGGUAAUACGUAGGGUGCGAGCGUUAAUCGGAAUUACUGGGCGUAAAGCGUGCGCAGGCGGUUGUGCAAGACAGAUGUGAAAUCCCCGGGCUUAACCUGGGAAUGGCAUUUGUGACUGCACGGCUAGAGUGUGUCAGAGGGGGGUAGAAUUCCACGUGUAGCAGUGAAAUGCGUAGAUAUGUGGAGGAACACCGAUGGCGAAGGCAGCCCCCUGGGAUAACACUGACGCUCAUGCACGAAAGCGUGGGGAGCAAACAGGAUUAGAUACCCUGGUAGUCCACGCCCUAAACGAUGUCAACUAGUUGUCGGGUCUUAAUUGACUUGGUAAACGCAGCUAACGCGUGAAGUUGACCGCCUGGGGAGUACGUCGCAAGAUUAAAACUCAAAUAAUUG
rnacentral:rRNA from 1 species